rnacentral:rRNA from 1 species
CCUACGGGAGGCUGCAGUGGGGAAUAUUGGACAAUGGGGGGAACCCUGAUCCAGCCAUGCCGCGUGUGUGAAGAAGGCCCUCGGGUUGUAAAGCACUUUCAGUGAGGAAGAACGCCUGGUGGUUAAUACCCAUCAGGAAAGACAUCACUCACAGAAGAAGCACCGGCUAAACUCCGUGCCAGCAGCCGCGGUAAUACGGAGGGUGCGAGCGUUAAUCGGAAUUACUGGGCGUAAAGCGCGCGUAGGUGGCUUGAUAAGCCGGUUGUGAAAGCCCCGGGCUCAACCUGGGAACGGCAUCCGGAACUGUCAAGCUAGAGUGCAGGAGAGGAAGGUAGAAUUCCCGGUGUAGCGGUGAAAUGCGUAGAGAUCGGGAGGAAUACCAGUGGCGAAGGCGGCCUUCUGGACUGACACUGACACUGAGGUGCGAAAGCGUGGGUAGCAAACAGGAUUAGAUACCCUGGUAGUC